CCGGCACCGGCCCCGCUCCAGCGCCCGCCCCCGGCCCGCGCCCCGGGCCCCGCGCGCAUACCUGGCGAGGCCACGAGGGGAUUCUGCGGGCCGAGCCCCGCCUGGGCUGCGCCGCCGCAGGCGGGAGAGGCUGAGGAUUCUUUUGGGAAGCCCCUCCGCCGGCUGUAACCCCAGGGCCGUGCCACCCUCCUGAUCACCGCAAGCAUGGACCCCCCAGCACGCUGCGGCUGUUGUCCACACCAAGGGUGGCCUACAGAGGGAAGUGAGGACCUUGGGACUUCCUCCAGGACAGCCCUCGCUGUCCAAAUCUCCACCUGCUGCAGAGCUGCCUCCAGUCAAGCCCUUGUUUCCAGCUUUCUGUGCCCUAAAUAAACUUCUGCUGGGAUUGAGCCAUCAGCAUUCUGUGGUGGGCGUCGCUGCUGCGAGGUUGCCCUCGUGCACACAAGCUCCUCACAGGUAAAGGUGAUCUGCCUGUGGACAUACUUGUUACAGAAGUUUCCCACCUGCUGUGCGCAUCUUGCCUGUGUGCAGUCACCAUUCUUUAUGCAGUUGGUGCCUCCAUCUGCUCCUGUGUGGUUUCUUCUUUUGGUUCCUUUAUUAUCUCUCUUUUGGUGCUG
rnacentral:lncRNA from 1 species